rnacentral:rRNA from 1 species
GACGAACGCUGGCGGCGUGCUUAACACAUGCAAGUCGAACGGGAUUUAGUAGACAGAAGCCUCGGCUAAAGAUUACUAAUGAGAGUGGCGAACGGGUGAGUAACGCGUGAGCAACCUGCCUAUGACAGUGGGAUAGCCUCGGGAAACCGGGAUUAAUACCGCAUAAAAUCGUAGAAACACAUGUUUUAACGGUCAAAGAUUUAUCGGUCAUAGAUGGGCUCGCGUCUGAUUAGCUAGUUGGUGAGAUAACAGCCCACCAAGGCGACGAUCAGUAGCCGGUCUGAGAGGAUAAACGGCCACAUUGGAACUGAGACACGGUCCAAACUCCUACGGGAGGCAGCAGUGGGGAAUAUUGCACAAUGGGGGAAACCCUGAUGCAGCGACGCCGCGUGAACGAAGAAGGUAUUCGUAUCGUAAAGUUCUGUCCUAUGGGAAGAUAAUGACAGUACCAUAGAAGAAAGCUCCGGCUAAAUACGUG